rnacentral:pre_miRNA from 2 species
AUAUAAAUUAUAUGGGGAUCUUAUUAAAAUGCACAAUCUGAUUCAGCAGGUCUGAGAUUCUACAUUUCUAAUAAGCUCCCAGGCGAUACUGAU